AUUGAACGCUGGCGGCAUGCCUUACACAUGCAAGUCGGACGGCAGCAUGGGCUUCGGCCUGAUGGCGAGUGGCGAACGGGUGAGUAAAGCAUCGGAACGUACCUUUUGGUGGGGGAUAACGCGGCGAAAGUUGCGCUAAUACCGCAUAGUAUUCUGAGGAAUAAAGCAGGGGACCGUAAGGCCUUGCGCCAUGAGAUCGGCCGAUGUCGGAUUAGCUAGUUGGUGGGGUAAAGGCCUACCAAGGCGACGAUCCGUAGCGGGUCUGAGAGGAUGAUGCGCCACACUGGGACUGAGACACGGCCCAGACUCCUACGGGAGGCAGCAGUGGGGAAUUUUGGACAAUGGGCGGAAGCCUGAUCCAGCCAUGCCGCGUGAGUGAAGAAGGCCUUCGGGUUGUAAAGCUCUUUCGGUGGGGAAGAAAUCGCAAUGGUUAAUACCUAUUGUGGAUGACGGUACCGGAAUAAGAAGCACCGGCUAACUACGUGCCAGCCGCCGCAGAAA
rnacentral:rRNA from 1 species